rnacentral:lncRNA from 1 species
GCCGGACGAAAAGACGGACGCCAAAAAUCUGAAGCUUAGGAGCCUGGCUUAAAACCGAUCGGAUAAAUAAGGUAAUUACAUGGGAGAAUGUUCCUUCCGAGACGCCGCGGUGGGGAAUCGGAACCAGCGGCAAAGGAGGGGAAACGGCGAAGAUGAUCCAGGAGGGGCAAUGCUCUUAUAAAACUACACAAAACUGGCCUGACCGUGACAUUGCUAAAGUUCACCCGCAUUCAAAUCACGAUGGCGCUGAAAACACCCGGGAGCGCGUCCUUAGUUUUAGUUUUAGUUAGUUUUACGACAUUGUUUUCCGCCUUUUCCGCGUACACCGUGCCGACCGCACAACCCCAAUCUCAAAGGGGGGCUGUCAAAUAUUACAAUCAACCCUCGUACCAACCCGCCGUGCGGAAACCCACCGUCGCUCAAGCUCAUGUCCCUUACACGCACCAAACCCUGAAGCAUGGGGCCGUCCCUGUGGUCCCGUUGUCCCUGCGAGUCCCGCCAAGGCAACGCCGAAGCCCGCCGUCGCGAACAAGUACUACCAACCGUACCAAUACCCGGUGCCGGUAGCCUCCCAGUAUCAAUACCCGGUGCCGCUUAAGACCGUUCAACCGAGUGCAAAGCCCGCAAGUCCCAAACAGAAUGUGAAGCAAAGUUCGGCCAAGAAGAAGGUUACCCCGGUGCCAGCGAAUUAUUAUUACCCGAGUGCCACGCAAAAUAAGUAUUACGCUCCCACCAACACGUACGUCGCCAAACCAGCAGUUACACAGUUUGGCACAAAGAAGUACGUGGUAUCAAACGGAUACGGUGGCACUAGGCAACUAAGUGAAGCAGAGCUCCGUCAGAUUUUGCAACAGUACCAAGUUGCCAUCUUUGGUAACUACCCGUCAAACGGUACCGACGCACCUCAAGUCAUAUUCAUUCCCUCCGGCUAUCCGCAAGGUUACCCUCAGCCUCAACCUGGCUACCCUCAGCCUCAACCCGGCUACCCUCAACCAGGAAGCGUUCAAUCACAAUACCCUCCUCCGAGCUACCCACCUUCUGGUUACCCGC